ensembl:snRNA U6 U6 spliceosomal RNA
GUACUCAUUUCAGCAGCACAUACACUAAAAUUGGAACCAUACAGAGAAGAUUAGCAUAGUCCCCAAACAAGGAUGACAUGCGAACUCUUGGAACAUUACACUUUUUC